rnacentral:rRNA from 1 species
GACGAACGCUGGCGGCGUGCUUAACACAUGCAAGUCGAACGAUGAAGAAGAGAAACGCGAACUUCGGUUCAAAUUUCACUUCGGAUUAGUGGCAGACGGGUGAGUAACGCGUGAGCAACCUACCUCUUACAAAGGGAUAGCCUCGGGAAACCGUGAUUAAUACCAUAUGACACAUCCAUAAGGCAUCUUAAGAAUGUUAAAGCUACGGCGGUAAGGGAUGGGCUCGCGUCCCAUUAGCUAGUUGGUGAGGUAACGGCCCACCAAGGCGACGAUGGGUAACCGGCCUGGGAGGGUGCACGGUCACAUUGGAACUGAGACACGGUCCAAACUCCUACGGGAGGCAGCAGUGGGGACUAUUGCACAACGGAGGGAACUCUGAUGCAGCGACGCCGCGUGAGCGAUGAAGGAAUUCGUUUCGUAAAGCUCUGUUCUAUGGGAAGAAAAGGACUGUGCCAUAGGAGAAAGCCCCGGCUAAAUACGUG